AAAUAAAAAAAGAGUAUGAUUUAUAUAAAAAAUAUUAUUAAAAGUAAAUUUAUUUUGGAACUUUUUCAUUUAUACAUUUUAAUUUUUUUUUCUUGUAUUUUUACGGAAUAUAAGAAGCAACUUAAAUCGCAAAUAAAUUUAACUUGUAAUUUAUAUUGCAACUCAUGCAAUAACUUAAAGGGAAAUUUACACAAAAUAACAAAUUUCAUUUAUUUUUUACAUUUUUACUGUCAUAUAGCAGUUUUUUCUUUUAUACUUUUUCCUUUUUUCAAUUAUACAUUUUAUAAGUUAUGAAAUUACAUUUAUACGGUUUGCACAUAAUUUUCUAGCUCUCUUUCUCUCUUCUCCUCCUCAUGCUCACGAGCCUAUCUCCAAACUUUUAUUCUUCAAUCGCAAUACUGCGCCUCAAGCAAAACUCAUCUAUGCCCUCCACUGUUGCUCAAGGCCCAUCUCCAACCACUCACUCUCCAUCUCCAUCUGAAUAUAAAAAAUUGAUUCCUAUUGCUGAUGAACUUUAAAGCUCAUUGGAAUGCUUUUUGGUCAUUUCUAUUCUUUCGGUAGAAUGAAGCAAGUCAAGUACAUUAAAAGUGUAUAAGAAAAUGUCUCAAGUUUCUAAAGAAUGGUGAAGCUAAUGUACAAUGAUUAAUGAUUAAAUAGUCAGUUUGGUUUUGAUUUUAUACGCUGAAGAGCAACAAUUGAAAAACGUUACUUUUAUAUUUUGUUAAACUUUUAUUUAGUUAACAACACAUAAAUCUUGUAUAAGAUAUUGAACAUUAUAUAUAAUUUGUUUAUAUUUUA